rnacentral:rRNA from 1 species
UGCCAGCAGCCGCGGUAAUACGGAGAGUGCAAGCGUUACUCGGAAUCACUGGGCAUAAAGCGCACGUAGGCGGGAAGAUGUGUCGGUGGUGAAAGCCCCCAGCUCAACUGGGUGAAUUGCCUCCGAAACUGUCUUUCUUGAGGCCGAGAGGGGUGAGUGGAACUUCUGGUGGAGCGGUGAAAUGCGUAGAUAUCAGAAGGAACACCGGUGGCGAAAGCGACUCACUGGCUCGGAUCUGACGCUGAGGUGCGAAAGCGUGGGUAGCAAACAGGAUUAGAUA